rnacentral:lncRNA from 1 species
AUUUGAAUGUAUAUAUGUAAGGUAUACAACAUGAUGUUUUAAGAUAUAGCUAUAGAUAGUAAAAUUAUUACCAUAGUGAUGCAAAUUAAUUUGUUCAUGUUACCUAGUUACCCAUUAUUUUUCUUUCCUUGAUAUAUAAUAUUUUACAUAUUUAUGGGGUAUAUGUGAGUGUUUGUUGCAGGGAUAGAAUAUGUAAUGGUCCCAUUGUUACUGCAAUACCAAGGGUUUGGUCUAGGCCCUACUGCUCACUGCACAGAAAGCCAAUCACUGAGAUGAUGAGUACUGCCAAGGAAGAAGGCUUUAACUUGGUGCUGCAGCCAAGGAGAUGGGAGCUCAGUCUCCAAUUCAUCUCCCUGACUGACUAACUAUGGGUUUAUAUAGCAGGGAAGAAAUGUAACCAUGCAUAAGAAAACAGGAACUAAGGAGGGGCAAGGAAGCCAUCAUCAUGAAUGAGAAGUCUGACAACUGGUGCUGUGAUCUGCUAAUUACCAAGAGCACUUUAAGCACACUGGUGGAUUUAAACAAUGUGAAUAAGUAAGAUUGUGAUUUGGCUUUGACAAAGGCAGAGUCAAGCUGGCUUUGUCAUGUAAAGGGCCUGAGACGGCCACAUGGUAUGUUUAAUUGAUGUAAGUACCAGAAAAUGGCAUAAAUGAGUACAGAAUUUAGUUUAAGGGCAUGAUAAACAUGGGAAGGAAAGAAAUGAAAAGAACUAAGAUGUGGGUGAAAAUAUUUGGAGGCGAUGAAUUGAUUACAGAUGAUUAUUGAAAGCUGUUGGCCAUAACACUCCCAGAGGCCUCAUUGUACGGGUUCAAGAAACUGUCAUAAGAGAAUUCUGAAAGCCAAGGUAAGCAGUAAGUAUCCAUUAGGUAGUUUCCAUUCUUUCUCUUCCUGAAAACGUUUAUCAUCUCCAGUGUGAUUUGCACAUAUUGAUUAAUUAAUCUCUAAGUGACUAAUUUUUCAUUAUUUGACAGAUAAUUAGAUCUUUCAUAAAUCUGUGUAAUAAAAGCAUGCAGGAAGCAUUGUGAGCCAGUUUAAUAAUUGGCAUUAGUUUUCAAGAAGAAUGUGUUCCAGCUCAGUUGUUUCCUUAUUAGAAAUCAUCCUGUCAGGAAACACUUUAUAGAUAAAGUAAAUGAUCUUGUCUUCUGGAAAAUAUGACAAUGAUUUUUAACACUUGCCAUUUCACAAGAACCUAAGGCUCCUAUGCUCCAAUUACCCCAGUCUCUAUUAAUUCAAAAAAAAUGGGUGUGUCUGAAUUUUAGUGAUGUUAAAAAUAUGAAAACCAUGGGUCAUCUUUCCUUUGAUUCUAAAAGUGAAGAUGCAUAGGGAGGUAGAGGACCUGAUUAUAACAACCAAAGAAUUGGAGAAUAUUUGUUUUGGAAAGGAAUUGAAAGAAGGAUGAGCUCAUAUCCUUUAAUUUACAGAGUAAAAACCUGAAUCUCAUAAAGGUUAAAUGAUAAAUCCAAAGAUACAAAACUGAUGGGAGAGAUUUGAUUACACUAUGGUGCCCCACAGUUACCCACUAGGAACUCACCAGCUCCAAAUUUCACCUCCCUUUAGAAGAAAACUCCAUUUCUUUUUGUAAAAUAUCUUGACAGAUUCUCUCUGAAAUUGUGUACACCACAGACAAUGAUCAAGAGAAGUGAUGGACUUUUACAAUCCCAUUAUUCACUUUAUAUCUUUUCCAAUUUUCUGAAUUUACUGAUCCAAAUCCUAAGUCAGUGGUUCCAAACUGAGAAGCCAUUAAUGUAGAAGUGAGAAGCCAAUAGAAAAUCUUUGAACUAUUUAACAAUCUAAGAGAACUCAUACAUUUUACUAACAGUAUAAAUUAUCACGGAACUUCUGAUUUUCGAAGAGACUAUUAUUAAAGGAGAUUAUAUUAAGUUUUUAAUAGUUUG